rnacentral:rRNA from 1 species
UUAGAGUUUGAUCCUGGCUCAGGAUGAACGCUGGCGGCGUGCCUAAUACAUGCAAGUCGAACGAAACUUCUUCAUCACCGAGUGCUUGCACUCACCGAUGAAGAGUUGAGUGGCGAACGGGUGAGUAACACGUGGGCAACCUGCCCAAAAGAGGGGGAUAACACUUGGAAACAGGUGCUAAUACCGCAUAACCAUGGUUACCGCAUGGUAACUAUGUAAAAGGUGGCUAUGCUACCGCUUUUGGAUGGGCCCGCGGCGCAUUAGCUAGUUGGUGAGGUAAAGGCUUACCAAGGCAAUGAUGCGUAGCCGAACUGAGAGGUUGAUCGGCCACAUUGGGACUGAGACACGGCCCAAACUCCUACGGGAGGCAGCAGUAGGGAAUCUUCCACAAUGGGCGAAAGCCUGAUGGAGCAACGCCGCGUGGGUGAAGAAGGUCUUCGGAUCGUAAAACCCUGUUGUUAGAGAAGAAAGUGCGUGAGAGUAACUGUUCACGUUUCGACGGUAUCUAACCAGAAAGCCACGGCUAACUACGUGCCAGCAGCCGCGGUAAUACGUAGGUGGCAAGCGUUAUCCGGAUUUAUUGGGCGUAAAGGGAACGCAGGCGGUCUUUUAAGUCUGAUGUGAAAGCCUUCGGCUUAACCGGAGUAGUGCAUUGGAAACUGGGAGACUUGAGUGCAGAAGAGGAGAGUGGAACUCCAUGUGUAGCGGUGAAAUGCGUAGAUAUAUGGAAGAACACCAGUGGCGAAAGCGGCUCUCUGGUCUGUAACUGACGCUGAGGUUCGAAAGCGUGGGUAGCAAACAGGAUUAGAUACCCUGGUAGUCCACGCCGUAAACGAUGAAUGCUAAGUGUUGGAGGGUUUCCGCCCUUCAGUGCUGCAGCUAACGCAAUAAGCAUUCCGCCUGGGGAGUACGACCGCAAGGUUGAAACUCAAAGGAAUUGACGGGGGCCCGCACAAGCGGAGGAACAUGUGGUUUAAUUCGAUGAUACGCGAGGAACCUUACCCGGGCUCAAACGGGAGUGGAAUGGACCAGAGACGGUUCAGCCUACGGGCCGCUUCCGAGGUGCUGCAUGGUUGUCGUCAGCUCGUGCCGUGAGGUGUCGGCUUAAGUGCCAUAACGAGCGCAACCCCCGCCGGCAGUUGCUAACGGGCAAUGCCGAGGACUCUGCCGGGACUGCCGCCGCAAGGCGUGAGGAAGGCGGGGAUGACGUCAAAUCAGCACGGCCCUUACGUCCGGGGCGACACACGUGUUACAAUGGCAGGUACAGCGGGAUGCCACGGGGCGACGCCGAGCGGAACCCGAAAACCGGUCUCAGUUCGGAUUGGAGUCUGCAACCCGACUCCAUGAAGCUGGAUUCGCUAGUAAUCGCGCAUCAGCCACGGCGCGGUGAAUACGUUCCCGGGCCUUGCACACACCGCCC